UGCAUGGUGAUAGACUGGGCG
rnacentral:misc_RNA from 1 species